GAUUAACGCUAGCGGCAGGCCUAAUACAUGCAAGUCGAACGGCAGCACGAAUAGCAAUAUUUGGUGGCGAGUGGCGCACGGGUGCGUAACGCGUAUGCAAUCUACCUAUAACUGGGGAAUAACCCCGAGAAAUCGGGGCUAAUACCGCAUAAUACUACUGAACGGCAUCGCUUGGUAGUCAAAUCUCCGGAGGUUAUAGAUGAGCAUGCGUGACAUUAGCUUGUUGGUGAGGUAACGGCUCACCAAGGCUACGAUGUCUAGGGGGUCUGAGAGGAUGAUCCCCCACACUGGUACUGAGACACGGACCAG
rnacentral:rRNA from 1 species